UCACAAGUAGGCAGAGAGGCAGGCAGAGAGAGAGAGGGAGAAGCAGGCUCCCUGCUGAGCAGAAAGCCCAGUGCAGGGCUCGAUCCCAGGACCCAGAGAUCAUGACCUGAGCCAAAGGCAGACGAUUAACCCACUGAGCCACCCAGGUGUCCCAGGAUCUCUGUUUAGAAGUCACCAUCUCCAACCCUGAUGGGAUCAUGGUGUAAGUGUGCAGGUGUAACUGAACUUGGAAAAGUCACUACCAUGACGCCAGGACACGUCUGCCUGGCAUAGUCAGCUUCAUGGACAAGGAGGCAGACAAAACAGCAGCUAUCACCGCACAGAAGUGUGGCAGAGCCUUCUAAGUUAGGGCCGCUGGGCGCAGUUCUGAAGUCCGGGGCACAAGGCACACAUAGGGCCUGUCCUGUCCAAAGCCUUGUUUAAGUCAAGCACACCCCGCAUCCCAUGUUCUAUCUGCCACCGUUCCUGUCUCCUCAACAGAGUGGGAGAACAGUGGCUGAGAACUGAAGCAGAGGGAAAGAGGGCACUAGCAGAAUGUUCUAGAAGCACACCACUCCUUUAGCAGCUCGGGCGCACAUGCACACAACUGACACACACCAGGUCACAGGCAGCAAGGCCCAGGUCACCAACCCUGGAGAAACUGGCUCAAAUACCGGUGAGGGGUCCAAAAUCAUGUGCAUUGUGUGUACUAAUUUUCCUCUGGGAAGAACAGGAAGCAAAGAAUCACGGGCUGUGGCUGUCUUCCCACGUUACUGAUCCUAUGAAAAGACUUUAGUAUUGGGGAUCCUAAUUCACUAUAAGCCCCAGGAAGGGAAGGACUGGUCUGACUUCCACCAUGAUGCUAGAACGCAGCCCUAUGAGGUAUUCAAGGACUGGGUAUGCUGGCACAAUGAAGUUCUUGUCAUCCCAAGGCUGGGGAAGCCCCUGGUUUUCCUGCUGAAACCCCAAAUCUCCAUGGCCCAGGUGGAGGUGACAAAGACGAGAUGAGUAACCCAGACCAAAGCAAAACUACUCCUCCCUACAUUCCGACCCAAGAGGCAAGGCUCUUCUCCUCCCAGUGACUGAAGAACUGAACUCAGCCUACUCCUCCCAAGACCAGCAACCCUUUCUGCACCACAGAUGCUCACGCUGAUGUCCUUACAACUCGGCUCCCUCCAGGCCUGCUCCUGGGCCACUUACUAUCUCGUCUCCUGGCUUGCAGCUGUCCACCAGAUCGGCGAGGAGGAUGGCAUCCUUGGAACGAGGCAGCCGUCCAGCCGCCACUUUGCCAGGACUCUCCUGAAUUCGGAUGCGCUGGUAGUUCUGAUAGAUGGUCUGCGUGGGACAAACAGAGGGUCACAGGAACCUGUCUCUGUAUGGUCGACUUUGCACUCUUCUAAGCCCAGAUUUGCUAUGUCACCUGACCCUGGCCAUGGCCCCACGAGUAAGGAGAACAGACAGAAUUCCGAUCUCCAUCAAUGAACCAGAAAACGGAGAGCUGAAGCCAGCAGAGGACGAGACUGCUGUGACUGACACAUGGACAGUCCCCAUUCCUGCCUCUAUCACUGUGGGUGCGUCCUUACUGCUAGACAGUCGCGCACCUGCUUGUAGCCCAGCGCUGGUGCGUAUGGGUGCCGCAGCCACACUGCCUGGGUUCAAACCCUAGCCCCGUGGCUUCAGCUGUGUGAUCCUGGGGAAGCGAUGUCCCCUCUCUGUAUCUUCUUUGCAGAAUGAGGAUGCUAACACUCUAAGAGCAAUCUCACACUGAAGGUUAAAUUACGUCAUAUGGGGAAGCCUGGGGGGCUUAGUUAAGCGUCUGCCUUUGGUUCAGGCCACGAUCUUAGGGUCCUGGGAGUGAGCCCCACAUGGGGCUCCGUGCAUGGCAGACAGUUCGCACCUCCGGCCCCCACUCAUGCAUGCUCUCUCUCUCUCAAGUAAAAAAAAAUCUUAGAAAAAAAAAAUCAUGCCAUACAUCAAAAGCACUCAGAUCAAUGCCCAACAAGACAGUGAGCUCCACCAAGUGUGGCCUCUGUGGCCAAACGUUACAUGGCAAUGUCAUGCCAUGCAAUUUAAUGUCCCUUAUUUCAUUUAUAGUCUAGAGAAGAGACCACAUAAUGCAGCAGUUAAAAGCAGAUGCUCUGGAUCCAAAUGCCAGAGCUCUAAUCCUUUGGGCCUCUUUCUAGCUGGGUGACUUCAGGGUCAAUAAUGCCACUUGCCUCAAAAGGUAUGAGGAAAGCUGAACUAUAUAUCACCCACCCACUAGGGGCCUUGCAAGUACUCCAGAAACUUGAGCUGUAGGUAUUACUCGUGUGGAAGCAGAGCCUGAAACCCUGCUCCUGUGUCAGAGCUUUCCCAAGGAGCUUCCAGGGUAAGUGGAUUCUUGAGGAUGUGCAAAGCAGGCAGGGGAAGACUCCGGGCAAGGUGUGGGCUCACCAUCCCCAGGGCAAGGUGCACCUGAGCUUUUGAGCAGGUCUGUUUUCGGCUGUGGGCUGCCACAAGCAGAAACUCUCAGGUGCUUUCUGGUAAGGAGGUCCCAGCUAGGGCACUUCUCAGAGGUGCAGAGCGCUGGGAGCGUGGCAGCCAGCAUUCACGGCCGCAAGGCAAUAAAGGGGGUCUGGGCAACCCCCACCCCCUGCCGGAGGUACUGCGAUGACCCCAACCCUACAGAAGAAAUCAUCCAAACACAAAGGAAAAUGGCCCAGCAGCUUUAAGCAGGGCCUUCUGAAUCCAAUGCAGCAAUGUCUAAGCUAGCUAUGAUCUAGAGCCCCCCACCGAGAGGCAGGUACCAGAAAUGCCAAGGGAAAGCCCCAUGGGAGUGAGGUAUGGGAAAGCAGGUGCCUUACUAAGGAGAGAGCUGAAUGAGAAGUGAGCCCAGUUUUGCCAGAGCUUCUCUGCCUUUUUUUUUUUUCCUUAAAAAGAAAAACCAUUAACUUCGACAUUUUAAGCAAAAUGGCCUCGCUUUAAAAUAUUGGCUCGUGGGGCACCUGAGUGGCUCAGUGGGUUAAGCCUCUGCCUUCGGCUCAGGUAUGAUCUCAGGGUCCUGGGAUCGAGCCCCGCAUCGGGCUCUCUGCUCAGCAGGGAGCCUGCUUCCCCCAACCCCACCUCCUCUCUGCCUACUUGUGGUUCCUCUCUGUCAAACAAGUAAAAUCUUAAAACAAAACAAAACAAUACAAAAAAACAAAUUAAAAAAAAAUAUUGGCCCGAAUUCUUGAAAAACAGCCCACAGGCCAAACUAAGCAGGCUGGCCGGGGAGCUCUGGUUUACCUCAGGGUGUGGCCAGGACACAAGUCCACCUUGGUUCCCCUGGCUGCUGAGCUCAUGCACCUGCCUUAGCCACGGGGCGGGACCAGGGUAGACAGGAAGGGCAGCCACUGGCGGGCGUGGCCUCUCACCUCCUCCAUGUUGACUUCGAAGGGUCCGGCUGACUGGCACUCAGGGCAGGAGCCCGGCUUCACCUCCUGGUUCUGGGACUGACAGAAGGGCCCCAGCACGAAGUUACACUUGUUGCAGUUGUACUUGACCAUGCUGAGCUGGGGCAGGACGCCCGUGCAGCUGGUCACCACACCACUGGUGCGGAUCAGCUGGUUCAGGUGCAGCUGCCUGUGGAGACGGGAGGGCCUGUCAGAGGACUGGAGGCCAAAGCCUGACCCGUGGCCUCCAGAGAUCAGCUCCUGACGUGAGGUGGGUCCAGGAAAACUUGGGAGCCCACCAGAUCCACAGCACCUCAGCCGGUCCAAGCCAGAGGGCCCGGUGGUGAGUGGGAGCUCCUUGGCCCCGGGGCCCCAGCUCCCGCCCGGCCCCCAGCUCACCUCAGAGAACGCAGCUCCUCCACCAGAGGCAGGUGGGAGAUGCGCACGUGGAUGUGGCUGGCGAUACGGUCGUACUUUGGGUACAUGGCCAGCACGACCUCCAGUGCAGCCUCGUCAAAGAUCUGCAGCAGCUCUGCAGGCGCCUCUGGCAGGAAGUAUGCCAGGACGUGCUCCCGAGCCGCCAGGUCCUCGUAGUUCACCACCAGGCUCUCGCGGUUCUCUGCAGGAGGGAAGACAAACUGAGCACAGAGCUUGGCGGGGGACACGGCAGGUGACAUCCCUCUCCCUACGCAACGAGGCAGGCCUGCCUGCCCCCUCCAAUCCUUGACCUGGAGCUGGAAGCCCCAGCCCCAAUUUUGAAGCCUGCCCUGCUUUAGCUGUGUGGCUCUGGCAGUAAGUGACACAUCCUAUGCCUCAACUUCCCAAUCUGUAAAAUGCAACAUCGCACAACGUAGGAAGUCACACUACGUAAAACGAUACAUGCGGGGUGUCUCUUACAAUAGGGCCGCAAACUCAAAAUGCCUAAAAGGGCCGAGGAGGAAACCCAUGAAUAAACCACAUGAGAUACGAGACAAAAAGGAGCGACAUGGACAACAGUGGAAAGAUUCACAAGCUUCUUUUUAAAUGUAAUUCCUGUCCCACAGAAAUGUGCUAUUUUCUACCUGAAGUAGUAAUCCAGACUUUGACAUUAAACCUGCCACAUUUUUUUUUUUUUUUUUUUUUUUUGUUUGUAUUUGUUACAACCUUUUAAUGUAGAAUGUGACUUGAGCACUACAUUUCCACUCACGGAACUUGUGGAGUUACUUCUCCAACAGCUUUACAACAUGCCUAAGUAGGCCUAGAAUGUCGCUACUCUAAACAACGCUCCUCUUUGGAAAACAAGCCCUAUACACGGUUACUCCCAUCCGGUUGGUUAAACUAGUAGUUUCUAGAGGCCUGGUACAUGCAGCUGGUAACUACAGGGGACAGAAGAUUUAAAAAGUAGAUCCUAGAGGGUGAGAGCUGUUUUAACCAACAUUUCUCUUUAAAACAUCAAGGUAUAGCUCGGAACACUUCAGUGACAGACAAAUUUGG